UACGGGGGGAGCAAGCGUUGUUCGGAUUUACUGGGCGUAAAGGGCGCGUAGGCGGCCACGACAAGUCACUUGUGAAAUCUCCGGGCUUAACUCGGAACGGUCAAGUGAUACUGUCAGGCUAGAGUGCAGAAGGGGCAACUGGAAUUCUCGGUGUAGCGGUGAAAUGCGUAGAUAUCGAGAGGAACACCUGCGGCGAAGGCGGGUUGCUGGGCUGACACUGACGCUGAGGCGCGAAAGCCAGGGGAGCGAACGGG
rnacentral:rRNA from 1 species